rnacentral:rRNA from 1 species
UUGGCGUGGGGGAACCUGACCGCCAUUCCGCGUGUGCGAUGAAGGCCUUCGGGUUGUAAAGCACUUUUGGCAGGAAAGAAAUCGCACAAAUUAAUACUUUGUGUGGAUGACGGUACCUGCAGAAUAAGCACCGGCUAACUACGUGCCAGCAGCCGCGGUAAUACGUAGGGUGCAAGCGUUAAUCGGAAUUACUGGGCGUAAAGCGUGCGCAGGCGGUUCGGAAAGAGAGGUGUGAAAUCCCAGGGCUUAACCUUGGAACUGCACUUUUAACUCCCGAGCUAGAGUAUGUCAGAGGGGGGUGGAAUUCCGCGUGUAGCAGUGAAAUGCGUAGAUAUGCGGAGGAACACCGAUGGCGAAGGCAGCCCCCUGGGAUGAUACUGACGCUCAUGCACGAAA